UUUCUGCAAAGAGAGGCCCUGUUACCAAAACAGAGGAGGAAGUGCCCCUUGAGGAGCCCGCCCCAGAGGGGCAGGAUUGGGGGACAGGCACACCGUCCGAGCCUCUCUGCCCUGUGAAGGCCUGACCGCCUUCUCGUGCACGGACGACUGUUCAACGACCGGUGUUUCCCACCCGCACCAGAGGCGCCCGGCGGCUCUGGCCCGGCCUGGCUGAGUCAGCAGGAAAUCGGCCCAGGUGCACACGACCUGCAGCGGUGCCUCGGUGUGUGGAUGUCUUCCGGUGCCGGCCGAAAGGCAGAAGGACUGAAAACGCGCCAAAGCCAUACCGGCGAGGGGCCCCGAGCCCGGGAAAAGCAGAUUCCCCACCCCCCGGGGCCCAGCAGAGGCCAGAAACAUCCCAUCGACUGUGAUACAGCCUGGCCUGGGCCACAGAAUAAAGCAGCAAACAGGAAAUGACAGGUGGUCACGAGGAUUGUGAUGGUAACAUUGCCGCCUGACAGUGCUCACCGUCCCGGUUGGCAUGAGCCCCUGGUGGCCCCUCAGGCUCCUGGAGGAGCCCCCGGCCAGUGCUCCUGCCCUCUGGGUGACGACAGACUGGGGUAGGCUCUCAGGCGACGCUGGGCUCGUGUCUGGAUUGGGGGCGCCACCCUCUCCUGCCUGCUACGCGCGGAUCUGUGCGCCUUGGCCAGCUGCACAGUCCUCGUCUUCCUGUGACUCGGGGCAGCGUCCCUUAGCCCUUGCGGCCCGCGCAGCCUCAGUGUAGCCGGAGUCCGGAAGCCGUCCGCACAGAGUAGGACAGACGUGGUGGCCCGUGGACAUCUCUCCUGCGGUCCGACUAGGUUCACUCCACUGGAUUGUACGAUUUUUUAAAAAUCUGAUUUAGUUGCCAAUCAAAGGUUUUUAAAAAUGGGCUAUUUCACAAUAAAACUCAGAUUUCUGGCUCCCCUGACCCAUCUAGCAAGAGCGGAGAUCUCCCCAGAUGUCUCCUGUGCUCCACCGUGCCUCAGGCCCCGGCAUCGGCCAGCUCUGCCGCUGCAGUAGCGUCUUGGUCUGGGGGAACAGGUCAAUGGACCAACGGUGAAGCCAGGGUCUUCUGGGAUCCACCGAAGCAGCCCAUGGGUGUAGCCCCCCGAGCUGUGCCUUGGCUGAGGACCCUCAUCUCAACCUCUGCAAGUGCUCAGGAUGCCUGAGGCCCAGGAGGCGGCGAAGCCCUUGAGGUCUUAGGACAGAAGAAAGCGAAGACUGCGGCCGAUGUAAACUUUAUCUUAUCUGCUCGACAUCUAGUCAGGCGGCCUCUCUCCCACAACUGGUAGAACAGUGCUGGGCCAGGAGGGCCAGGGCGUCAUGUCUCUUCCAUCACCGGUAGGUUCUCUGUAUCGUCAGUUACUGCCCCUAGCUCCCUCCUGGCCUCACACAGGCAGAACAAGGGGGCGCCAUCCCGACCCUGCUGCCAUUGGAAUCACUUGGGGUCUUUGAUUUCCUUCAGAGGUUUCUGCCUGUGCUUUUCGGAUCCCCAGUCCCAUUGGUGGGAACAUUUGAUUCUAGAAAAUAGUGAAAAUCUGACUAAGUCUGGUGGCCCAUAGGUCAAGCGAGGAAAUUCCAAGCAGGUCAUUCACUGGGCGUUUCCUGGGCGUGUAGGCCGGGGAGGCCCUGAGCUGGGGUGGGGAAACCGGAGGUACCGAUGACUCCAUCUCUGCCCUCUCUGAUGGUCUCUCAGGCUUCUCGGGAGGAAACUCCGAAAUGGAAUUCCACAGCCUCGGAGCUGCGGCUGCGCCCUUGGAGUCGGGAGCUGCACCUGGGGGACAGGUUAGGGUACACAGCCCUCACGCUAGCACACAAGACGGGCCCGUGCCUCUCUUCCCUGAAGCUUGCUGCAGAGGGGAAGCCUGCAGCUUUAAGGAACCCUGUUUGUGAGCAGCCUGAAUCCGGUAGAGGUUUGGAUCGGGGGUUGGACAUGUUCACAACCCAAAUUUCGCGGCGAUUGGUGAUGGAUUAGCACUGCGAAAUCGGCGUAAAGUGCACUUAAUGGAUGCGUUGCUGCAGAGGGAACCUGUCUCACCAGAGUCUUUCUAAAUUUAUGAAAUUGAAAUGCACUUCAGGUUGCUGAGAAGUCUAAAUUUGUCAAAGUCACAGGGCUGGAGGCAGGUCGGUGGCAGCAGUCUGAAGCCAGGACCACGGGAAAGAAUCCGAGAGGCUGUGCCCUGGUCCCCAGGGCCCCUCUCCCCCAGGCACAGCCCUGCCCAGCAAAGGGCAUCUGCCCCCAGCGGCCCUCUGCCCCCACGCCGUUCCCUUGGAAACAAGCUCAAAGGUGGGAAUAAGGCGAAGGGGAAUUGAAACCUCAGCAUCUCUGCAGAAGUGUUCCCUGAGAAUUAAUGCGCGAGCUGAUCAGGAAGGCCUUUGGCGGGUGUCCCUGGUGAUUUUCCCUCCAGGGGCACGGCAUUCGGACAGGAGGCAGCCGCAGACCCCAAGCGCUCCAGCCUCAACGUCGGGCAAGGUUGCGGCUGGUCAGCAGGGCCCAGAAUGAGCAGUGCCCAAGGCCUGGCCUUGUCUCCUUUCCUCUUAAGCUGUCCGCUGUCCCCACUUUUGCACUGUUGGAACAGUUCCCAGAAUGUGAUUCCUGUCCCUUCCCUCCCUUCAAAUGGACUGACUUCCUCCAGCAGUUCCUCCGGAAUUGGCAGCCCUAGAAAACACCAGUGCUGCAGCGUCCAAGGUCAUUUCCCCUGCGGUGGAAGAAGCCGAGGCCAGAGAGGGGCUGGAGGUCUCGGAGGCAGCUGGUGGCCCAAGCGGACCGGCCUUUUGAGCCCCUAGCGGGUGUGCGACCGAGAGUGGCCCCUGCUGUGCUCACCCCGUUGCUCUGUUCUCAGGGCACUUCCCUAGCAGGUGUCUCUGCCAUAACCCGAAGUCCUUGGCACCAGCACCCUGACUGAGUGGCCGUGGUCCUCUCCUGUGCUGCCUGGUUUCUGAGCUUCAGUUUUCUGGCCUGAAAAAUGGGGAUGAAUAGUUGGGACUCCCAAGGCUUACAGGGGAUAGGGCUUAGCACGGUGCUCAGCACGUGGUGGGGCCCCGCAGGACCCCAUCCUCAUGGGUCAUCCUAGUGGCUCCAACACUCACUCCAGUGUGGGGCCCAGAGCAGGGGUUCAGGGACUGUCUGCUGAAUGAACGAAUGAACGAAUGAAUGUGAUUUGGGGAUCAUGGCAGGUGCCUGGUCUUCCAGUUUUGUGACGUCCUUGCUCUCUUACAGAAUCUUUAUUCAAGUCAUACUUGUUCACUGAUUCAAUCCAUCAGUUAAAAAAGUUAUUAUAUGACUGCAAAACUACUGUCGAUCUUGUCGCUUACUAACAAGAGCUAAUACUUCUGAGCUCCUUCUGUGUCCCAAAAAUUGUGUUUCGUACUUGUCAAAUGUUUUGUCACUAAUCUUCACACCAGCGCACUGAGUGAAUGUACCCAGUCAGCUACUGCCACAGAAUGCUGUGUAACAAACCCCCCACGUUUUUUGGCUUAGAGCAAGCAUCCCCACCCCGGCAGUGCUCAGUCCAGCUGUAGGUGGGGUGACUGGGCUCCAGCCUGCAGUAGAGUUCAGGUCUGCUCCAUGUCUCUUCCACCUUGCGGGAAAAGGUAGCAGCUUCUUGGGACAUAGUCUUCUGAUGAUGGACCACAAGAACCAAAGACAGCUGGCCCAGCCUGCAACAUAUGUCAAGCUUUCGAUUCAGUCUCAACCCCCCAGAUCUCAUUGUCUAAAGCAAGUCACGUGGCCAAGUCCAAAGUCAAGGAAUGGGGGCAGUAUAUCCAUGCCCCCUGAGACUGGGACAAGGAUGUAGACCAGCCCUCCCCCCAUGGGGUCAACAACCCAAUCCACCACUAGGAGGUGCUAUUAUAAACCCCAACUGAGAUACAGAGAGAAGUGACUUGCUUAAGGUCACUCAGCUAGUAGGCAUGGGAACUAGGGUUUGAACCCAGGCAAUUUAACUCCAGAAUUAUGGUACCCUAAGAAUGUGCAUAUGAGGAGGGGAUAUUUGUUUUCUCAAAUUAUUUGCAUUGUUUUCACCCACUACUUGCUAAUGUCCUGCUGGAAUUAACCUCUCGCAGUUAUACCUCUGUGUAUCUAUCCAUCACCCUGUCAGUCACACAAAUCUGGCAUCUGGGUGCUCUCUCGACUCUCCAGAAUAAACAGGCUCCAGGGCAAUUCUGGGGUAUUUUUUUAAAUUAAUGUUGAGGAGAAAACUCGCCCUCCAGUUAAUCUCAGGCACGUGUAUAAAUGCCUUUGGAAAGUCCCUGGUGGAAUUCGUAUCAAAGCGGCUCCGUGAUUUUACCUACAAGCCAUUUGUUCCUUGUCAGACGUGAUUUCUGACAUCCGAAUCUGAAAGCAAUCGGGGUGGGCCCAGAGCCAUCUCCGUAAGGAGUCGUGUGUGUACUCGGAGGGAGGAGAGGAAGAACGGCCGCGGGAGGAGCGGCUGUGGAAUAAGUUCCACACACCCUUACAGGAGGGAUUUCCUCCUCCGUGUUUCCAUAGAACCUUCCCUGUGUUUGUUUAAACCCGUCGCACACACUGGCCUGACAGCUGCCUGGCCCAGGGCCUUCCUCGCACAGACUUGUACAACCAGCCCUUGUAAAGCGCCCUGCGCUGUGUCCUCCGAUGCAAUUACUCGAGUAUGUAAACCUCACUGAAAGGCAGGCUUUUCUCAGGAGCUAAUAAAUGAGCCCCAAAGCCACAGCGUGGAAGGCCUUGAAAAAUGGCAUCAUCAUCUAUUGGGAAUUAUGAACCCUGCAAAAAGCAGCUCAUUGUAUUUCCAGAAAAAGGGUUUUGUUUAAAAAAAAUAAUAAUGAACAGAAAUCACCAAGUGUGCUCUAGAUGGGGAAAGCGGUCCCGUCUGAGGUCCUAGGGCUGGUCCCUUUGCUGCCUUAAUCUUUCUUUGUCAUUUUCUCUAAGAGGCGUUAUUUGCAGAGAAAUGAGAACCCGUUUUGGAGAACUCCCCUCUCAUCCCAUCUUCUCAUUUGCAGUUAUAAUCCUCUGAUUAUGACUCCUGCAUUAAUUGCCAUGGAUACUGAACAGAAGUUGAGGCC